GUUAAUGAUGUAUUUAUAUUUAAAAAUUAUUUUCAUUUUUUCUAAACAUUUAAUAAAUUCAGGCCCAAAAUUUUAUGAUCAACCAAAAAAAUUCCAAAACAUGAAAUGUGAAUGCACUCUCAUGGUCCAUUGACUCGCUUAAUAAGUUGUGGGCAGGGCGAAAAAGUCCCUGCGUUGUAUAAGUAAUCCACAAAAGCUUCACCGACUCUCGAUUCGCAAUGCCUGUCGUCAAACCAUUCCGCCAGUGUUUUCUUUCUUGUGUUUUUCUCUUGUUUUUCCUACAUUCUGGACUCUGUUGUAAAGGUUCUGUGUUCUUAAACUCUCUAAGUAUUAUUUCGGAAUGUAGAAGUCAGAUGAUGGAUAUACUCUCAAUAAUGUGCGGGUUUCCCUCUUUUAUGGAUUUUUUUCCCGCCGGGGAUGCCUCUUCUUCUACUCAGCAGUUAACAAUGGACGAUUUAGAGUGUGAAUGCUGCUUUCGAUCAUGUUUUCCCAGUGACUUCACCAAGUAUUGCCAUUUAUAUAAAAAGUGACAUAAGAAACAAGAUUCCGAGGAGAAUAAAAACUGUUGUGAAUAUCUGAAUUUACCUUACCUUCCGACGGUGAUUGUUGAACUUUUAAUGAUGUUGUUAAGUUUUAAAUAUAAAAUGUAUUUUAAAAUAA